rnacentral:rRNA from 1 species
CAAGUCGAACGAGGCCACUCCUUCGGGAGUGAGUCGAGUGGCGGACGGGUGAGUAACACGUGAGCAAUCUACCCUUGUGCGGGGGAUAACCCGGGGAAACCCGGGCUAAUACCGCAUGUUUCGAUGAAGGGACAUCCCUUUUUCGGGAAACGUGGCCUCUUUACAAUGCUACGGCGCAGGGAGGAGCUCGCGGGCUAUCAGCUAGUUGGUGAGGUAAUGGCUCACCAAGGCAGCGACGGCUACGGGGUCUGAGAGGACGACCCCGCACAUUGGAACUGAGACACGGUCCAGACUCCUACGGGAGGCAGCAGUGGGGAAUAUUGGGCAAUGGCCGAAAGGCUGACCCAGCGACGCCGCGUGUGGGAGGAAGCCCUUCGGGGUGUAAACCACUGUCAGAGGGGACGAAAGAAUUGCGGGUAAACAAUCCGCAGAAGUGACGGUACCCUCAAAGGAAGCACCGGCUAACUCUGUGCCAGCAGCCGCGGUAAUACAGAGGGUGCAAGCGUUGUUCGGAAUUACUGGGCGUAAAGCGCGCGCAGGCGGAUCCUGCAAGUCAGAAGUGAAAUCUCACUGCUCAACGGUGAGGCUGCUUUUGAUACUGCGGAUCUGGAGACCGGUAGAGGCUGGUAGAAUUGCAGGUGUAGCGGUGGAAUGCGUAGAGAUCUGCAAGAAUACCCGUGGCGAAGGCGGCCAGCUGGGCCGGUUCUGACGCUGAGGCGCGAAAGCGUGGGGAGCAAACAGGAUUAGAUACCCUGGUAGUCCACGCCGUAAACGAUGGGCACUAGGUGCU